CGAAAAUCGAUGUUAUUAUGAUAUAAAUGCUCUGAUUAAUUAACACAAUAUGCACUUGUUUGCAAACAUGCGGACACACAUCGCUUUACUUGCUCUAAGCAUCUCCGCUGUAGUAGCGGUACCAGCUAACCCACAAAGGAUCGUAGGCGGGAGUGUUACAUCCAUCGCGCAGUAUCCGAGCAUUGUCGCGUUAUUAUUCAGUUCCAAUUUAAGCACGUGGCGACAAAUCUGUGGAGGCACUAUUAUUAACAAUCGCAACAUUGUGACUG